rnacentral:rRNA from 1 species
GACAGAGGGUGCAAACGUUGUUCGGAAUUACUGGGCGUAAAGCGCGUGUAGGCGGCCGGGCAAGUCGGGUGUGAAAGCCCUGAGCUCAACUCAGGAAGUGCAUUCGAUACUGCUUGGCUCGAGUCCCGGAGAGGAUGGUGGAAUUCUCGGUGUAGAGGUGAAAUUCGUAGAUAUCGGGAAGAACACCAGUGGCGAAGGCGGCCAUCUGGACGGUGACUGACGCUGAGACGCGAAAGCGUGGGGAGCAAACAGG